CGCUGGCGGUAUGCUUAACACAUGCAAGUCGAACGGCAGCACGAGAUAGUUUACUAUUUUGGUGGCGAGUGGCGGACGGGUGAGUAAUACAUAGGAAUCUGCCUUAUAGUUUGGGAUAACUACUCGAAAGAGUAGCUAAUACCGGAUGUGGACUACGGUUUAAAGCAGGGGAUCUUCGGACCUUGCGCUAUAAGAUGAGCCUAUGCAAGAUUAGCUAGUUGGUGAGGUAAAGGCUCACCAAGGCGACGAUCUUUAGCUGGUCUGAGAGGAUGAUCAGCCACACUGGGACUGAGACACGGCCCAGACUCCUACGGGAGGCAGCAGUGGGGAAUAUUGGACAAUGGGCGGAAGCCUGAUCCAGCAAUACCGCGUGUGUGAAGAAGGCCUUCGGGUUGUAAAGCACUUUUGUCAGGGAGAAUGGUAGUAGAGGUUAAUACCCUUUGCUAUUGAUGUUACCUGAAGAAUAAGCACCGGCUAACUCCGUGCCAGCAGCCGCGGUAAUACGGGGGGUGCAAGCGUUAAUCGGAAUUACUGGGCGUAAAGGGCGCGUAGGUGGUUACUUAAGUCAGAUGUGAAAGCCCCGGGCUCAACCUGGGAAUUGCAUUUGAUACUGGGUAACUAGAGUGUGGUAGAGAGUAGCGGAAUUUCUGGUGUAGCGGUGAAAUGCGUAGAUAUCAGAAGGAACACCAAUGGCGAAGGCAGCUACUUGGGCCAACACUGACGCUGAGGCGCGAAAGCAUGGGGAGCAAACAGGAUUAGAUACCCUGGUAGUCCAUGCUGUAAACGAUGACAACUUGUUGAUGGGGGGGUUACCCUUCGUUGACGUAGCUAACGUGUUAA
rnacentral:rRNA from 1 species